AACGAACGCUGGCGGCAUGCCUAACACAUGCAAGUCGAACGAGACCUUCGGGUCUAGUGGCGCACGGGUGCGUAACGCGUGGGAAUCUACCCAAGGGUACGGAAUAACUCCUCCGAAAGGGGUGCUAAUACCGUAUGAUGUCGCAAGACCAAAGAUUUAUCGCCUUUGGAUGAGCCCGCGUAGGAUUAGCUAGUUGGUGGGGUAAAGGCCUACCAAGGCGACGAUCCUUAGCUGGUCUGAGAGGAUGAUCAGCCACACUGGGACCUGAGACACGGCCCAGACUCCUACGGGAGGCAGCAGUGGGGAUAUUGGACAAUGGGCGAAAGCCUGAUCCAGCAAUGCCGCGUGAGUGAUGAAGGCCUUAGGGUUGUAAAGCUCUUUUACCCGGGAAGAUAAUGACUGUACCGGGAGAAUAAGCCCCGG
rnacentral:rRNA from 1 species